rnacentral:rRNA from 1 species
AUUGAACGCUGGCGGCAGGCUUAACACAUGCAAGUCGAGCGGAGUGAUGGUGCUUGCACUAUCACUUAGCGGCGGACGGGUGAGUAAUGCUGAGGAAUCUGCCAUUUAGUGGGGGACAACAUUCCGAAAGGAAUGCUAAUACCGCAAACGUUCUACGAGAGAAAGCAGGGGAUCUUCGUACCCUGCGCUAAAUGAUGAGCCUCAGUCGGAUUAGUUAGUUGGUGGGGUAAAGGCCUACCAAGGCGACGCUCUGUAGCGGGUCUGAGAGGAUGAUCAGCCACACUGGGACUACAGCACGGCCCAGACUCCUACGGGAGGCAGCAGUGGGGAAUAUUGGACAAUAGGCGGAAGCCUGAUCCAGCCAUGCCGCGUGUGUGAAGAAGGCCUUUUGGUUGUAAAGCACUUUAAGCGAGGAGGAGGCUACUAGUACUAAUACUACUGGAUAGUGGACGUUACUCGCAGAAUAAGCACCGGCUAACUCUGUGCCAGCAGCCGCCGUAACAC